GUCAUCUAGCCAGCUGAUUUGAGAGAGGACGACCCUCGGAGAGUGGGAGGGGAAAAACCAGAUACCACUAUAUAUAUGUACCGCUACUACCCACUGGUAUAGGUAAAACUCACAGCAAAAGUGACGGCUCGCGAGUACGAGUACAAAUCUAACAGGAAAGAUAGUUCUCGAGACAUGCUCACAACGGGACCUUCCUGGUUUGACCCAGCGUUGCCUAUUGCCACACACACACCAUUGACUGUAGAUGGAGGCAGGUUCAAGAGGAUCCCCGUGUACAGAGACCCUGCUGGGGGGUACGGAUUUGCAUCACCAUUCGAAUUUGACUCUCUGCUCAGUUUAGUUCUGUACUAUUCCACCAACACGAUGGAGAAACACAACCCUGAACUGGAGACAAUGCUUAGAUACCCUGCAUUCCAUGUGGACA